rnacentral:rRNA from 1 species
CCCUUAGAUGUUCUGGGCCGCACGCGCGCUACACUGACGAUGGCAACGAGUUUUUCCUUCGCCGAAAGGUGUGGGUAAUCUUUUGAAACAUCGUCGUGCUGGGGAUAGAUCAUUGCAAUUUUUGAUCUUGAACGAGGAAUUCCUAGUAAGCGCGAGUCAUCAGCUCGCGUUGAUUACGUCCCUGCCCUUUGUACACACCGCCCGUCGCUACUACCGAUUGAAUGGUUUAGUGAGGACUCCUGAUUGGCACCGCCGCCCCGGCAACGGAGCAGCGGACUGCCGAAAAGUUGUUCAAACUUGAUCAUUUAGAGGAAGUAAAAGUCGUAACA